rnacentral:rRNA from 1 species
UACAGAGGUCUCAAGCGUUGUUCGGAUUCAUUGGGCGUAAAGGGUGCGUAGGUGGCGCCGUAAGUCGGGUGUGAAAUUUCGGAGCUUAACUCCGAAACUGCAUUCGAUACUGCGGUGCUUGAGGACUGGGAGAGGAGACGUGGAAUUCGAUGGUGUAGCAGUGAAAUGCGUAGAGAUCAUGAGGAAGACCAGUGGCGAAGGCGGGUCUCUGGACAGUUCCUGACACUGAGGCACGAAGGCCAGGGGAGCAAACGGG